AGUGAACGCUGGCGGCAGGCCUAACACAUGCAAGUCGAACGAAGUCUUCGGACUUAGUGGCGGACGGGUGAGUAACACGUGGGAACGUGCCUUUAGGUUCGGAAUAACUCAGGGAAACUUGUGCUAAUACCGAAUGUGCCCUUCGGGGGAAAGAUUUAUCGCCUUUAGAGCGGCCCGCGUCUGAUUAGCUAGUUGGUGAGGUAAAGGCUCACCAAGGCGAAGAUCAGUAGCUGGUCUGAGAGGAUGAUCAGCCACAUUGGGACUGAGACACGGCCCAAACUCCUACGGGAGGCAGCAGUGGGGAAUCUUGCGCAAUGGGCAAAAGCCUGACGCAGCCAUGCCGCGUGAAUGAUGAAGGUCUUAGGAUUGUAAAAUUCUUUCACCGGGGACGAUAAUGACGGUACCCGGAGAAGAAGCCCCGGCUAACUUCGUGCCAGCAGCCGCCGUAACAC
rnacentral:rRNA from 1 species